UGAUUUAUGGUGUUCAGCACAUUGGAAUUUGACUCCAAAGGUAUUAUUUUUAUAAUUUUAUCAU
rnacentral:tRNA from 1 species